CAGCUCUUCAAGUGGUCGGGACUAUUAUUGGGCUUAAAGCGUCCGUAGCCGGUAUAGUAAGUUCCUGGUUAAAUCGGAUAGCUUAACUAUCUGUUGGCUAGGAAUACUGCUAUACUAGGGGGCGGGAGAGGUCUGAGGUACUCCAGGGGUAGGGGUGAAAUCCUAUAAUCCUUGGGGGACCACCAGUGGCGAAGGCGUCAGACUGGAACGCGCUCGACGGUGAGGGACGAAAGCCAGGGGAGCGAACCGGAUUAGAUACCCGCGUAGUCC
rnacentral:rRNA from 1 species